rnacentral:rRNA from 1 species
GAUGAACGCUGGCGGCGUGCCUAAUACAUGCAAGUCGAGCGAACGGACGAGAAGCUUGCUUCUCUGAUGUUAGCGGCGGACGGGUGAGUAACACGUGGAUAACCUACCUAUAAGACUGGGAUAACUUCGGGAAACCGGAGCUAAUACCGGAUAAUAUUUUGAACCGCAUGGUUCAAAAGUGAAAGACGGUUUUGCUGUCACUUAUAGAUGGAUCCGCGCUGCAUUAGCUAGUUGGUAAGGUAACGGCUUACCAAGGCAACGAUGCAUAGCCGACCUGAGAGGGUGAUCGGCCACACUGGAACUGAGACACGGUCCAGACUCCUACGGGAGGCAGCAGUAGGGAAUCUUCCGCAAUGGGCGAAAGCCUGACGGAGCAACGCCGCGUGAGUGAUGAAGGUCUUCGGAUCGUAAAACUCUGUUAUUAGGGAAGAACAUAUGCGUAAGUAACUGUGCACAUCUUGACGGUACCUAAUCAGAAAGCCACGGCUAACUACGUG